GUAAUGGCAGGUCAGCAUACUGCCGUGAAUACGUUCCCGGGCCUUGUACACACCGCCCGUCACACCAUGAGAGUUGGAAAUACCCGAAGCCUGUGAGCUAACUUAAGGGAGGCAGCAGUCGAAGGUAGAGCCAAUGAUUGGGGUGAAGUCGUAACAAGGUAGC
rnacentral:rRNA from 1 species